UACAGAGGUGGCAAGCGUUGUUCGGAAUUACUGGGCGUAAAGGGCGCGUAGGCGGCCCGUCAAGUCCCGUGUGAAAGCCCCCGGCUCAACCGGGGAACUGCACGGGAAACUAGCAGGCUUGAGUUCGGGAGAGGGAAGCGGAAUUUCGGGUGUAGCGGUGAAAUGCGCAGAUAUCCGAAGGAACACCGGUGGCGAAGGCGGCCUGCUGGGCAGUUACUGACACUGAGGCGCGACAGCGUGGGGAGCAAACAGG
rnacentral:rRNA from 1 species